GCACAGUGGAAACACAGGGAGGUCACCUGUGUGUGCCCAAAUGUGUGCAUUUCACCAAGAACGGGAAAAAGAUCAUUGGAAGGGGAUGUAAUGUGACAAUAAGUAUGAAAUGAAUAAACAAAGAUAAAUUGCCAAUUUUAUCUUGUGAUGUAACAAAAGAACAGGAUUACUGUACCAACACUGGAGCACUCAGCUAAAAUGUGAGUUAUUCUUCACUACAAUACUAGCAUUCAACUCUUAAAAGAAAAAAAAUGCCAGCUUCGGGGGAUUGAAAGAGUUGCAUUUGUGACACAGGAACAAAAAGGCUCUCAUUGUUAAAUCCACCAUUUCCCCUUCAUAUUUUUCCAAUUAUUGUUUCUUCAGAAGGAUUUCAGGCUCAUACUAAAAACGUGUUUUCACUCAAAUUCCUCUUCUACCUCCCCUGUGCCCACCCCCUUUCUCUACCGCUUAGUAUUUUCUAUGUUUCUGUGUCUGUUUCUGUCUAUGCAACUCUUCCUGUCUAUUUUGCUCUCUUUGACCCCCAACGAUCUAAAUGUACUCACAACAGCAUUAAGGACUUCAAUCCCCCCAGGAGUUCCUGUGGUCCACGUUCCCAGAGAGUAACAGAGACUUUAAGGGGACAUGCCGGAACAAAUGACAGACAGUCUCUGCAGGCAAGCCACCAGAUACACAGAUGGGCAUAGAUCAAGGAAUUGAAAUUAUGGAGAUCUUCAGUACCACCAUCACAGUGCAGCAAUGUGGCUUUUGGAUGUUUUGCCACCAUGACUGUUGCUGCCCACAAACUGCAUGGAUUUCUGUAUGCCUGCCAUGGGAAUGCAUGGUUUUACUGAAACUGAUCAUAUUGUCGCAAUUGGUUGGCAGAGAAGGAUGGACUAUAGUGUUAAUGUGUUUAAUGUG